CAGCAGCCGCGGGAAAACGUAGGUGGCAAGCGUUGUCCGGAAUUAUUGGGCGUUAAGGGCUCGCAGGCGGUUUCUUAAGUCUGAUGUGAAAGCCCCCGGCUCAGCCGGGGAGGGUCAUUGGAAACUGGGAAACUUGAGUGCAGAAGAGGAGAGUGGAAUUCCACGUGUAGCGGUGAAAUGCGUAGAGAUGUGGAGGAACACCAGUGGCGAAGGCGACUCUCUGGUCUGUAACUGACGCUGAGGAGCGAAAGCGUGGGGAGCGAACAGGAUUAGAUACCCCUGUAGUCCCUGUCUCUUAUAC
rnacentral:rRNA from 1 species